rnacentral:rRNA from 1 species
AACACAUGCAAGUCGAACGGAAAGGCCUGCUUUGUGGGGUGGCUCGAGUGGCGAACGGGUGAGUAACACGUGAGUAACCUGCCCUUGACUUCGGGAUAACUUCAGGAAACUGGGGCUAAUACCGGAUAGGAGCUCCUGCUGCAUGGUGGGGGUUGGAAAGUUUCGGCGGUUGGGGAUGGACUCGCGGCUUAUCAGCUUGUUGGUGGGGUAGUGGCUUACCAAGGCUUUGACGGGUAGCCGGCCUGAGAGGGUGACCGGCCACAUUGGGACUGAGAUACGGCCCAGACUCCUACGGGAGGCAGCAGUGGGGAAUAUUGCACAAUGGGCGGAAGCCUGAUGCAGCAACGCCGCGUGCGGGAUGACGGCCUUCGGGUUGUAAACCGCUUUCGCCUGUGACGAAGCGUGAGUGACGGUAAUGGGUAAAGAAGCACCGGCUAACUACGUG